rnacentral:sRNA from 1 species
CCAAUAGCGUAUAUUAAAGUUGUUGCAGUUAAAAAGCUCGUAGUUGAAUUUCGGGAUUGACGUGAUGGUCAUGCCUUAAGGGGUAUGAACUGUCACAGUUGAUUUCUCACCUUCUGGAGAAACUUGAUGUCCUUUAUUGGGUGUCUUGCGGAUCCAGGACCUUUACCUUGAAAAAAUUAGAGUGUUUAAAGCAGGCAUUUUUGCUCGAAUACAUUAGCAUGGAAUAAUAGAAUAGGACGGCAUGGUUCUAUUUUGUUGGUUUCUAGGAUCACCGUAAUGAUUAAUAGGGAUAGUUGGGGGCAUUAGUAUUCAAUUGUCAGAGGUGAAAUUCUUGGAUUUAUUGAAGACUAACUACUGCGAAAGCAUUUGCCAAGGAUGUUUUCAUUAAUCAAGAACGAAAGUUAGGGGAUCGAAGACGAUCAGAUACCGUCGUAGUCUUAACCAUAAACUAUGCCGACUAGGAAUCAGACGAUGUUAAUUUUUUAAUGACUCGUUUGGCACCUUACG